rnacentral:rRNA from 1 species
AACGAACGCUGGCGGCAGGCUUAACACAUGCAAGUCGAACGCCCCGCAAGGGGAGUGGCAGACGGGUGAGUAACGCGUGGGAAUCUACCUAGUUCUACGGAACAACACAGGGAAACUUGUGCUAAUACCGUAUACGCCCUAUGGGGGAAAGAUUUAUCGGAAUUAGAUGAGCCCGCGUAAGAUUAGCUAGUUGGUGGGGUAAUGGCCUACCAAGGCGACGAUCUUUAGCUGGUCUGAGAGGAUGAUCAGCCACACUGGGACUGAGACACGGCCCAGACUCCUACGGGAGGCAGCAGUGGGGAAUAUUGGACAAUGGGCGAAAGCCUGAUCCAGCCAUGCCGCGUGAGUGAUGAAGGCCUUAGGGUUGUAAAGCUCUUUCAGUAGGGAAGAUAAUGACGGUACUUGAGGAGGAAGCCCCGGCUAACUACGUGCCAGCCGCCGCCGAAACAC